UGCUUAACACAAGCAAAUUGAACGCAGAAUAAGCCUUCGGGUUUAUUGCUGAGUAGCAAACGGGUGAGUAACGCGUGGGAAUCUGCCUUUUUGUGGGGGAUAACUGAGGGAAACUUCAGCUAAUACCGCAUACGCUCUACGGAGGAAAGACUUCGGUCGCAAAAAGAGGAGCCCGCGUCAGAUUAGGUAGUUGGUAGGGUAAAGGCCUACCAAGCCAAUGAUCUGUAGCUGGUCUGAGAGGAUGAUCAGCCACACUGGGACUGAGACACGGCCCAGACUCCUACGGGAGGCAGCAGUGGGGAAUAUUGGACAAUGGGGGAAACCCUGAUCCAGCAAUGCCGCGUGAAUUUGAAGGCCUUAGGGUUGUAAAGUUC
rnacentral:rRNA from 1 species